rnacentral:rRNA from 1 species
CUACGGGGUGCUCCAGUGAGGAAUAUUGGUCAAUGGGCGAUAGCCUGAACCAGCCAUCCCGCGUGCAGGAUGACGGCCCUAUGGGUUGUAAACUGCUUUUCUGCUCCAAGAAACCCUGUUACGUGUAACAGGUUGACGGUAGAGCAGGAAUAAGCAUCGGCUAACUCCGUGCCAGCAGCCGCGGUAAUACGGAGGAUGCAAGCGUUAUCCGGAUUCAUUGGGUUUAAAGGGUGCGCAGGUUGGGGAGUAAGUCAGUGGUGAAAUACUGCCGCUUAACGGUAGAACUGCCAUUGAUACUGCUUUUCUUGAGUAUGGUUGAGGUAGGUGGAAUGUGUUGUGUAGCGGUGAAAUGCAUAGAUAUGACACAGAACGCCGAUUGCGAAGGCAACUUACUAAGCCAUUACUGACGCUGAGGCACGAAAGCGUGGGUAGCGAACAGGAUUAGAUACCCUUGUAGUC